AAAAAAUUCUACCGUAACUUCGGGAGAAGGUAGGCCGGCGACCGUCAGAAGCUUCGCGCUUCGAAGCGGUUGUUGGUUGCAGAGAAUCGGGGGUAGCGACUGUUUACCAAAAACACAGGACUCUGCGAACGCGGAAGCGGACGUAUAGGGUCUGAUGCCUGCCCGGUGCUGGAAGGUUAAGGGGAGAUGUCAGUCGCAAGACGAAGCAUCGAACCGAAGCCCCAGUAAACGGCGGCCGUAACGAUAACGGUCCUAAGGUAGCGAAAUUCCUUGUCGGGUAAGUUCCGACCUGCACGAAUGGCAUAACGACUUCCCCACUGUCUCGGGAUGGGACUCAGUGAAGUAGCACUAGGGGUGAAGAUACCCUUUACCUGCGGCAAGACGGAAAGACCCCAUGAACCUUCACUGUAACUUGGCACUGAACUUCGGGCUUAAUUGCGUAGGAUAGGUGGGAGGCUUUGAACCGGGGAUUUUGGUUUCCGGGGAGCCACCGUUGAAAUACCACCCUGUUCAGUCAGGAGUUCUAACCUACGCCCGUUAACCGGGCGGGGAACAAUGCCUGGUGGGCAGUUUGACUGGGGCGGUCGCCUCCAAAAAAGUAACGGAGGCGCGCGAAGGUUCCCUCAGGCUGAUUGGAAACCAGCUGUUGAGUGUAAUGGCACAAGGGAGCUUAACUGCGAGACAAACAAGUCGAGCAGGUACGAAAGUAGGUCAUAGUGAUCCGGUGUACCUCAUGGAAGGGCCAUCGCUCAUCGGAUAAAAGGUACUCUGGGGAUAACAGGCUGAUCACGCCCAAGAGUUCACAUCGACGGCGUGGUUUGGCACCUCGAUGUCGGCUCAUCGCAUCCUGGGGCUGAAGUAGGUCCCAAGGGUUUGGCUGUUCGCCAAUUAAAGCGGUACGCGAGCUGGGUUCAGAACGUCGUGAGACAGUUCGGUCCCUAUCUGCCGUGGGCGCAGGAGUUUUGCGAGGACCUGCCCGUAGUACGAGAGGACCCGGGUGGACGGACCGCUGGUGUUCCGGUUGUCAUGCCAAUGGCAUCGCCGGGUAGCUAUGUCCGGAACAGAUAACCGCUGAAAGCAUCUAAGCGGGAAGCUGACCUCCAGAUUAGAACUCCCAGAGCGCAAGCUCUCUGAAGGACCCUUGUAGACUACGAGGUUGAUAGGCCGGGUGUGGAAGCGCUGUGAGGCGCGUAGCUAACCGGUACUAAUCGUCCGUGAGGCUUGACCGC
rnacentral:rRNA from 1 species